GGUACCAUAGCUCAGUUGGUAGAGCAAAGGACUGAAAAUCCUUGUGUCGCUGGUUCGAAUCCAGCUGGUACCAC
rnacentral:tRNA from 2 species